CAGAGGGCUGGUGUGCAAUGUGGCGUUUCAGCAGGCUGGUGUGGUGCAUGCCAUAGGAAGAGAAGGGCACUGCUGGAGACCUGCCAGGAAAAAUGAAUGGAAAUACUCAAUCUGCCUCUGGCACUGCAGUCAUUACCUGGGAGUCGGGGAAGGGAUGGCUCCCCCAGGAUUUGAAGAAGGUGGAGGAAGGACACUUCCUUCUGUGGGCAGGAAACACUUCAGGUACGUGUCCACCAGGAUGAAAUAAGCACUGUUGGAAGGGCUGACGUGGUGGGUGACAGGCGAGUUCUGUAACAGAGGCAGGGAAUGCUGGGGGUUAUACACUGUGGCCUGCCCAGGGCUGGGGAGUGAUGCUGCACAGCCAGACACAUUCAGCAGGAAUAAGCAGGAGCCCUGAGGUUGUAAAGGGUGAAUUGACAGCAAAGACACUUCUGAGUAAAGGUAAAGCGAGGAGCUGUAAGACAACUGUUGCUGUGGCAGUGAAUGUAACCAAGUAGAAGAGAGCAGAGAUAUCUAGCACAGGUAACAACAGGCAGAGGAACCAAAUAACCACACACACAGCACCAAGCCAUGGUUAUGACUGUACAGAAGGUCUGAUCUGACACAGGGGUAGGAAAACCACUUGGAAUCCACUGCCUGCUCCUUGUUGGUUGGACAGAGUGCUUACUGGUGUAUCUAAGGUGGGUGUUUUGUUUAUUAUCUUGGAUCAUCAACUGAACCAAAGCAGUAACAAAUUCCAAAAGAACAGAUAAAACUGCUGCUAAUUUAGCUUCAAGCACCUCAGGAAGCUCUUGUAGCACUGUGAAGAAAGGCUAAUACUCUUUUAAGGGAAAAAUUGCUACAGGUACUUACCUUCUGUGUAAUCAAACUAAUUGCAAAGUAAAACAUGUAAUAUUCAAAGGGGUCUGGAAGAACAGAGUCAAGGAUCAGAUAAUAAAAAACAGGCACAACUAUUAGAUACUGGGGGAUGCUAAACAGUCAUUAAGUUUUUAUUUUGUCAAUACUAAAUUACCUUGCUAGAGCUUAACAGCAAAUUCAGCUUUGCUUUCUUGCUUUCCAGCUGACUCAAACUUUGGCAGUUGAGGUGUUCUCUGUGUGACAAGGUGUGUUUGCAUUACUUUUAGCACAUUUGACUAUCUCAAACUGAAACCAGCACAGCUACAGUGCUUCCGACAAGUCUGCUGGCUGCAAAGUGAACAUGCCCUUUUCCUACCACAUUGCAUAAACUGUGAGUAGUUACAAAAACAAAAAUUGUGAAAUACAGGCUCAACUGAAAACACUAGGAAUUUGUUGUUGACUUGAUUGAGGCCAGAAAUUCCCCCAACAAGGGUUUACAAGAAGAGGACAACUUUAUUUUUCAUCGUUAUCUAAAUAUUUCUAAUUAGCCCAAACUCUUUAGCACAACCAUGAUUUACCACACACACAUAAUAAAUAUACAACAGAAACACUCGUGACCUUUCAAUUUUAGAUAUUUAAACAGAAGUAAAUAUCCAACAGUUAAAAGGAUACUAAGAGCCAAAUUCAAGCCUAAACCACCAGAUGAAGGAAACUGGACUUUGUUGUGGUAUAAAGAACAUUCUGGCAGAACUUGCUCUUGUAUUGAAGCCUUCACAGGGCCCUGAAAGACAGAGUAAUGAAAUAUUAAUCUGGCUACUCAGCAUACUGCAGAGUAUGUUUUCAGAUAGUGAGGCUCUGCAUUCCAGCAUUCUGGGAUGAUCUCUACAUUCAGCUCAGUGGGAUUUUAUUGCACUGCAAUAGUUCCUUCCGCAAAUGCAAAGUCUUUAGAGAACUCUCAACUUUCUCAUUGAAAAGAAUAUUCAGUAUUUUUUUAAUUCAAUAUAUUUUUAAAAAACCUUCACCAUGACUUUUCCAGUUGGAGUGGGAGCAGCAGAGGACUGGUGUUUGGAUGAUGGUUUUGUCUUGGUAACUGAGCUGUGGACCAGCAAUUACCAUCUACUUAAAUGAUGUUUCCUUUUGUGAAAGACUGUAGAACUACCUGAAUUCCUAGACAGCAUGCAGCUGGUAGCAGUGGAAGAAACAUAGUGAAACAACUCUGCAGAUGAACAUCUUUCUUUGAAAUGUGAUACUUCACAUCCAGGAUGGCAGUGAGACUUCAAACCCGUGGGUACAAAGCUUAGCCAGGGAAGUCACUGCUCUGUGACGAGCUUGGAAAACUAUUUUCAGUCCUGCAACUACUGGUAACCACACGGCUUUCUCUGGGGACAGGGUGAGAAUCACAUUGCAGCUCAAAUAUCCAGCUGCUGACAACCACAAUCUCCAACAGAGUUUACGGCUGGGAACUCUCCUCCUCCAGAGGAGGAAAGGAAACAGGCCUACUCUAACUCUGGAGCACUGAGGCUACACCGUGGCCUAUACUGAAUCACAGGCAUGCAAAGUUUCAACAGCUGCAACAACAACUACCUUCUCUUCUUACAAAGUGUUCAGUUACUCACUGGAAGAUAAGAGACUGGGAAAUCAUAUCUGUACUCUUCUGCUUGGAGUUUGUAAACCAGCUUCAUCAUCGGGCCACUGCAAACAAGCAUCAGAGAGAAAACCCGUGGUGAGUACCCUCUCCUGUCUCACUUCUGUGAAUUAUGGACAGUGGAAAAAAGGUCAAACACUAGUUUUUUGUUCAAUGAUUCAUUUUUUAAUCCGUGCUGAAAUGAAUGAGUUUACCUGGGAUCCAGGAAAUCCAAAGCCACAGAGUAUUCGUUAGGAUUUGUUCUUCCUUGCAAACAGCGAAGGUUCCAGCCCACGAUGAUGCCAUCCAGGCUACCAAAAAUGCUCUCCACCAGCCAUGGGAAGAUGCCAUGUAGUUCCUUUAGGGAAAACAGACACAAGGAGUUAAUGUGCACGAUCCCUCACAGGGACAAUCUCUGCUGCAUAUAUCAGAAUGCAUAAAGAUACUGUCUGCCAGCUAUUUAUGACUGUUUCCAGGCUGUCACUGGCCAAAGCUUCCAUUCAAAACAUUGCAUUGCAGUAUGGCAAUUAUGGGAGAUCUAUCCUGAUUUCUGAUCCUACUGAAUUUGCUGUGAUGCUCCUCAGCACCACAUGCAGUUAUUUGUUACAUUUUAAAAACUAGUUUCCCUCCUAAACUGAGGCUGAAAGGUAUUAAUGAAGUGCAGUCAACUGAAACAAUCUUUUAAUGGCUAGAAAAGGUUUUUAACUCUUGGAAACACUGGAUUUCCACUGUUCUAAAAACUCAGAAUCACAGAAUCAACGAGGAUGGAAAAGAACUCUGAGAUCAUCGAGUCCAAGCUGUGACCCAACACCACCGUGUCAACUAGAUCAGGGCACUCAGUGCCACGUCCAGUCUUUCCUUAAACACCUCCAGGGACGGUGACUCCACCACUGCCCUGGGAAGCCCGUUCCGAACAGAUUCCAGCUUAUCUUGAUAAGAGAAACAGGGACAAAGAAAAUAGCAAUAUGACAAAACCAAAUCCCCCUGAAACCUGCCGGGCAGGGAGGUCCUGAGAAGGCAGCGGCCGCUCACCUUGGCGGGGAGCUCCUCGAUGACGGUCUCCAGGUCGUGGCACCGCUGCGCAAACGGUUUGUUUACACAGUCCGCCUUCAGCGUGGCCUGUUACAAAUCACGAGGGAAACUCGAUCAGAAGGGACAACUCUUACCUUGGCCAUGGUGUAAAACAAAAACAAAGCCCCGCCCGGCCGCUCCCCCGGUAUCCUUUCAGCCGACACCCGAACCCACCGCCCGGCCCGCGGGACCGCACAGGGGUGGCGCAGGGGCACCGGACACCCGCCCGCCCCCGGCACACGUACCAGCAGGAAGCUGGGCUGCUGCAGGUGCGGUCCGGCCAUUCCUCCUCCUCCAGUCCCGCCGCGGCCGCAGCGGGAUCGGGAUCGGGAUCGGGACUGGGAUCGGGAUCGAAGCCCACUGUCCCCCGGCCGCCUCCCGCGCUCGGCGCCCGCGCGCCCCUUUUGCGUCACGGCGCAGGCAGGUGACAUCACCGCGAGGUUGCCAUGGUGACGGGGCAGCGUCCUGUCCCCAACAUGGCCGCGCUGAGCGCCCCGGGCUCAGCCCCUUCGUAGAGUCAUAGAAUGUGCCGAGUUGGGAGGGACCCACCAGGACCAUCGAGCCUAAGUCCUGGCCCCGCGCCGGACACCCCAAGAAUCCCACCAUGUCCCUGAGAGCGUUGUCCAAAUGCCUCUUGAACUCUGUCAGGCUUGAUGCUGUGACCGCUGCCCUGCGGAGCUUGUUCAGUGCCCAACCACCCUCUGGGUGACAAACCUGUUCCUCGUAUCCAAUCUAAACCUCAGCUUCAUGCAGUUUCCUCUAGUCCUGUCAGUAGUCACCAGAGAGAUCUGUACCUGCCCCUCCAUUGCCCCUCGGGAGGAUGCUGAAGACCCCAGUGGUGAAGACCUCCAGUUUAACAGGAUUAUUUACCAGCCUAAAAUGAUUCAAUAUUUACAUAAACGUUUACAGAAUCAAAGUUAAA